ACAAUAUACAGAGUAUAUAUUUGUGUAUUUUCAUUUUAUUAAUUACUAUGACUUAUUUUAGUUUUUUGCUUACCUUGGAUUUAGUUUACCUUUCUUUUUUGUUUCUUAAGGGGGAAGCCGAGAUUAUUCAAUGUUUCUUCUUCCUAAUAUUGUUGUUUAGUGCUAUAAAUUUUUCUGUAAUAACUGCUUAAGCUGUACUGCUCACAUUUUAAUAUGUUGUCAUUUCAUCUUUGGUUCAAAAUAUUUUUAAAUUUCCACUUCCAUUCCUUUUUUGUUUUGUAAUUAUAGUGCUUGCUUUGGAGCUUAUAGUACACAGUCUAGCUUCAAAGGAUAUUAUGCCACUUCACAUAACUUUGUGAUGUUUUUGUUACACAUUUUACUUUUAGGUAUACUAUAAACCCCAUAGUACUUUGUUAUUAUAUGUCUUUUAAAGAUAUUUAUUUUUUAAUUUAAUUUAAUUGUAUUUUAU
rnacentral:lncRNA from 1 species